UGUUAAAUAUUUAUAACAGAAUGGUUUCACAAUAAGACAGCACAUUUUCCCAAACACAAUCAUUGUCAUCAAAAUCCCCCAGGACACUCUCAUCUGCUCUGGGCCCUGCCCUCUCCUCAGGCGUCCAGCCCCAGAGCUUGCUAUAUAGUAGCAGACAUGCAAAUAGGGCCCUCCCUCUCCUGAUGAAAACCAGCCCAGCCUGGACCCUGCAGCUCUGGAAGAGGAGCCCCAGCCUUGGGAUUACCAGGUGUUUCUAUUCGGUGAUCAGCACCGAACACAGAGGACUCACCAUGGAGUUUGGGCUGACCUGGGUUUUUCUUGUUGCUAUUUUAAAAGGUGUCCAGUGUCAGGUGCAGCUGGUAGAGUCUGGGGGAGGCUUGGUUCGGCCUGGGGGGUCCCUGAGACUCUCCUGCGCAGCCUCUGGAUUCACCCUCAGUAGCUAUGACAUGGAUUGGGUUCGCCAGGCUCCAGGGAAGGGUCUGGAGUGGGUCUCAGCUAUUAGUGCUGGUGGUAGCACAUACUAUGGAGACUCCGUGAAGGGCAGAUUCACCAUCUCCAGAGACAAUGGCAAGAACUUCUUGUAUCUUCAAAUGAACAGUCUGAGAGCUGAAGACACGGCUGUCUAUUACUGUGCGAAAGAAACACAGUGA